rnacentral:rRNA from 2 species
GAUGAACGCCGGGCGGUGUGCCUAAUACAUGCAAGUCGAACGCAUUGGCCCAAUUGAUUGACGGUGCUUGCACCUGAUUGAUUUUGGUCGCCAACGAGUGGCGGACGGGUGAGUAACACGUAGGUAACCUGCCCAGAAGCGGGGGACAACAUUUGGAAACAGAUGCUAAUACCGCAUAACAACGUUGUUCGCAUGAACAACGUUUAAAAGAUGGCUUCUCGCUAUCACUUCUGGAUGGACCUGCGGUGCAUUAGCUUGUUGGUGGGGUAAUGGCCUACCAAGGCGAUGAUGCAUAGCCGAGUUGAGAGACUGAUCGGCCACAAUGGGACUGAGACACGGCCCAUAUUCCUACGGGAGGCAGCAGUAGGGAAUCUUCCACAAUGGGCGCAAGCCUGAUGGAGCAACACCGCGUGAG